AGAGUUUACUCAACUGCAGGAAGGAAUGGACACGUCCAUGGAAUUAGUUCAUACCGCGUCUCAUUUGAUUUAAAUAUCAUUCAUAUUCUAGAUGUGUUGAAUCUGCUGGCAGUGUAAUGGGUGUAUGAACCAGUUUUCCGUUGCAUAAUUGAGAUCGUAUUCAAAUGACCUCGACCGGAAAACGAGCCGCUAAUGUCCUGUCUCUCUACCAGAAUAAUCGCUCUUCAACAGCAAACUUGGUACGGCAUCAUCCUCGCUAAGAUAUCUGUUCGUUCGGUUUAUUGGAUUCAACACGAUCUGUGUUCAUUCGGUUUAUUGGAUUCAACUCGAUCUGUGUGAAACCAUGUGGUCAAGAGUCUCAUGUGUUUGUGAACAACCACGUAUUAAGUAUUGUUUGUUACCAUCUAAAAGUAGACGUUAGCUGUUGUGUGUCCACUUCACUGCUUGAAGAACCUUGGGACUAACUGGAAAAAGUGAACCAACUCUGUGAGGUCUGCACAUGAUGUGCAACUUCAUCUUUUAGGUGUUGUCUUGUUGAUAAUGACAAAACUGUGAUCUUGUGAUUAUGAACGCUGUACUCUAAGAUACCGUAUGUACAGAGUGAUGCCCGCGCACAUGACAGGAAUUCGUUCAGUUAACUGCAACAGCGAAGACCUGUUGAGGUGCCAUUGUCUUCAGAAACGUGAUUGGUAGGAUGUAGCAAAGGGUAUGUGCAAGCUUC
rnacentral:lncRNA from 1 species